rnacentral:rRNA from 1 species
AUUGAACGCUGGCGGCAUGCCUUACACAUGCAAGUCGAGCGGCAGCGCGGGGGCAACCCUGGCGGCGAGCGGCGAACGGGUGAGUAAUACAUCGGAACGUGUCCAGUAGUGGGGGAUAACCUGUCGAAAGAUAGGCUAAUACCGCAUACGAUCUACGGAUGAAAGCGGGGGACCGCAAGGCCCCGCGCUAUUGGGGCGGCCGAUGUCGGAUUAGCUAGUUGGCGGGGUAAAAGCCCACCAAGGCGACGAUCCGUAGCUGGUCUGAGAGGACGACCAGCCACACUGGAACUGAGACACGGUCCAGACUCCUACGGGAGGCAGCAGUGGGGAAUUUUGGACAAUAGGGGCAACCCUGAUCCAGCCAUGCCGCGUGAGUGAAGAAGGCCUUCGGGUUGUAAAGCUCUUUCGGCGGGGACGAAACGGUUCGUGCCAACACCACGGACUAAUGACGGUACUCGCAGAAGAAGCACCGGCUAACUACGUGCCAGCCGCCGCAGUAA